GCCUAGUUAGCUUGGAGAGUAAGCGCCUAGUAAGCGCUAGGUUGCGGGUUCGAUUCCCACCCAAAGCG
rnacentral:tRNA from 1 species